rnacentral:rRNA from 1 species
GGGUCAGUAGGUUGGUCGUGUCACCGGUACGUACUGGUCUCACUGAUUCCUCCUUCCUGAAGAACCGUAAUGCCAUUAAUUUGGUGUUGCGGGGAAACAGGACUGUUACUUUGAAAAAAUUAGAGUGUUUAAAGCAAGCUAACGCUUGAAUACAUUAGCAUGGAAUAAUGAAAUAGGACGAUCGAUCCCAUUUUGUUGGUUUCUAGGAUUGACGUA